rnacentral:lncRNA from 1 species
GCAGGGGUUUCCCAUAUCCAUCCUGUUCCUGUCUGCGCUCCCCACCAAGGUUUCCUCCUGUUCCAGGUGUGUCACCUCGGUGCCUGUGAGCAGGGAGCAGUGCCUGGCUGCCAUGUGCUGGGGAGGUGGUUCUGUUCUUUCAGAGUUCUGCUCUUUCAGCCCUCUUGGCAGCAUCCUGAGGUUGGUGGUGUUUGCCACCUUCUCCAGGCUGAGCCCAUGCUCUUCCCUGCCAACAAAGCAUGGCCUGUGGAUCUCACCAACAUCACCUGUAUUGAUCUGAUACUCCAGAGCUGCCCUGUAAUCCCCAAAUCCUACUGAAUUCACAGCCUAGUGAUGCAGCAAUGUCAAAGGGAUGCAGCUGGUAAUUCUGCCUGGCUGUUAAACUGCCUCAUGUCACCCUGCUUCCAAUGGCUGCUGACAAGGAAAUUAUACCUGGAUCCCUGUAAUCCUAAAUUCAACAUGAAGAAGGAACCUGAAUGCUACUACACAUCUGCCUGCUGAUUUCCAAACCAUCUUAUACAAUUUCCAAAAUAGCUUAUGCAAUAUAUGACCUGGAGAGAAGGCACAUUUUCUUCCAGGAAAGAAAAAGGAAGAAAGGUCAAGCUUUUCUGCCUCCCUCUUCCCAGAGGAAAGAUGGAAUAUGGAGGCUCAAAGGCCUGCCACGGUGGCUACAACAUUUCAACCCUUGAGGGGCAGAAAGAAGCAAGGAAAAACAUUCCUCUAAGGGAAAUGUGUUCUUGCCUAAAUUUGUUCUGUGACACAUCAUCUGGAAAUAUUUCAAAACAAAAAGCUCGUCUUGAAGUGUUUGGCUUCUGCACUGUAGAUUUCUGAGCUCUCACCACAACAGGAUCUGAACCUCUUCCAGCAGCACGUUAAACACCAUGACAAGCAUCUGCCAUGUUUUGUUUGCUUUUGCAUCCUCCCCUCU